ensembl:lncRNA
CCGGAAGUGAGGGAGGAGCCGGAGGAGACACAGGAACCGGCAGUGAGGGAGAUGAGGAAGACAGGGUUCCGGGGGAGGGAACUGUGGAAGCAGAAACCACGGGUCUCACAGGAGAGGCUGGAGUCUGGGGGUGGAAGCAUUCGGCAAAACAGGGACUUUGAUUUGCGGUGAAGAGGCAUCUAACACAUAGGUAGAAAGCAGACUGGAGAGGCAGGAGGAUCGCCUGGACCAGAGGCAGCCUGGAGUCAGGGAGACAUGCCAACCGCUGGACACUGGAGAAGGCCUCCUGAGACCCAUGACUCACAUCUGCUGGAUCCAUCUGCUCCCUGAACUCUUUACAAGACCACUGCAGGGUCCUGGUGACUCUUCCUGCAACAGAAUUCUCCAGGGAGGAAAAGUGGGGUCCAGACGGAAGAAUGGGUUUGCAGCACCCCCUUCUCUCUGCAGUGUCAUCAUCUGUGGUCACGUCCACAGCUCUGGAAGGGGCGUGCAUGCCAAGUCACCUCAGUCAUACCCAUCUCUUUGUGACCCCAUGGACUGUUACCCACCAGGCUCCUCUGUCCAUGGAAUUCUCCAGGCAAGAAAUACUGGAGUGGGUUGCCAUUUCCUACUCCAGGGGAUCUUCCCAACCCAAGGAUCAAAUCCACGUCUCUUAUAUCUCCUGCAUUGGUUGUCACCAGGUGUCUCAGUACAUGCCAGCUGGUGAGCUAGUUGUUAGAAAAGAUAUGUGAGUGAGAAGCACCCCAUCUUCAAGGAGCUUACAGAGAGUGUGGGAGCCCAGGCGAGUGAAGGAGCCAUCACUUCAGUGUGGUCGGGAGGACAGCAAGGAAUGGUACGGUCUAGAAGGAUCUGACAGCAAAAGGAAGAGAGGGGAAUAAAUCAUUUUUGAGGUCAAGGAGAAGAGCUUGGCUCGGCAGCAAAAAAUCGUGCCUUCUGGUGUGUCCCGAGCAUUGCAGUUCAUCCAUCCCUGGGUUCAGAAGCUGUAACUUCUCCCCCCUCCCUCAGCCUUCUUCCUCCGCUGCCCCCCACAGCCCGCCC